rnacentral:lncRNA from 1 species
ACACUUUAUGUGCAUUCUUAAGCUUUUUUGUAUGGGAUUCUCCAUUAUCAACAGAAGAUAACAUUGGAUUUAAAUUCAACUGAUUUGCCGUGAAAAAUAUAGAGUCGUCACCGGAUUUUAUUUAUUUAAAAAAAAAAAGAGAAAAUAUCGAUAAAACCUUAAAAAUAAAUAAUCAUCUCAAUCAAAUUCAGAUUCGAGAUUAUUG